rnacentral:rRNA from 1 species
UUAGGGACGCAUGUGGAAAGCACGAGCCGGGAAUGGAAAGACCGGCACAAGCGGGGUAGGUGUACAAUAGGCAAAUCCGUUGUAUGAUCCGAAGACGUGAUGUGGAGCGAAAUAAAGUAGUGAAGCGUGUGAGCCAUGUGCCGAGAAAAGCUGCUAUUGUGUAAUGCGUGCCCGUACCGUAAACCGACACAGGUGGAUGAGGAGAGAAUCCUAAGGCCGACGGAAGAAGCAUUGUUAAGGAAUUCGGCAAAAUGACCCCGUAACUUCGGGAGAAGGGGUGCCUGCGAGAGCAGGCCGCAGAGAAUAGGCUCAAGCAACUGUUUAGCAAAAACACAGGUCUAUGCGAAACCGAAAGGUGAAGUAUAUGGGCUGACGCCUGCCCGGUGCUGGAAGGUUAAGAGGAGAGGUUAGCGUAAGCGAAGCUUUGAAUUUAAGCCCCAGUAAACGGCGGCCGUAACGAAAACGGUCCUAAGGUAGCGAAAUUCCUUGUCGGGUAAGUUCCGACCCGCACGAAAGGCGUAAUGAUUUGAGCACUGUCUCGACAAUGCAUCCGGUGAAAUUGAAGUACCAGUGAAGAUGCUGGUUACCCGCGCCAGGACGGAAAGACCCCAUGGAGCUUUACUCCAGUUUGAUACUGGGAUUCGGUACUGCAUGUACAGGAUAGGUGGGAGACGAAGAAGGAUGGACGCCAGUCUGUCCGGAGUCGCUGUUGGGAUACCACCCCUGUAGUACUGGGUUUCUAACCAGUUGCCAUGAUCUGGUAAUGGGACAAUGUCAGGCGGGGAGUUUGACUGGGGCGGUCGCCUCCGAAAGGGUAUCGGAGGCGCUCAAAGGUUCCCUCAGAAUGGUUGGAAACCAUUUGAAGAGUGCAAAGGCAGAAGGGAGCUUGACUGCGACACCGACGGGUGGAGCAGGUACGAAAGUAGGACUUAGUGAUCCGGUGGUAUAAAGUGGGAUUGCCAUCGCUCAACGGAUAAAAGCUACCCUGGGAUAACAGGCUUAUCACUCCCAAGAGUUCACAUCGACGGAGUGGUUUGGCACCUCGAUGUCGGCUCAUCGCAUCCUGGGGCUGUGGCAGGUCCCAAGGGUUGGGCUGUUCGCCCAUUAAAGCGGUACGCGAGCUGGGUUCAGAACGUCGUGAGACAGUUCGGUCCCUAUCCGGCGCGGGCGGAGGAUAUUUGAGAGGAGCUGUCCUUAGUACGAGAGGACCGGGAUGGACGGACCACUGGUGUAUCUGUUGUCGACCAACGGCAUGGCAGAGUAGCCAAGUCUGGAAGGGAUAAACGCUGAAGACAUCUAAGCGUGAAGCCCCCCUCAAGAUGAGGUAUCCCUCCUAUAAGGAGUAAGACCCCUUGAAGACUACAAGGUAGAUAGGGCAGAGGUGGAAGCAUGGCAACAUGUGGAGCUGACUGUUACUAAUAGGUCGAGGGCUUAAC